AAUGGUCAUUAUAAACCGGAUGGUUCAAGCCCUGAAUGCUGAUUGGUUGAAAGCCAUGGUAUAUCAGACCGUAUACCAUGGGUAUGACAAAACAUUUAUUUUUACUGCUCUAAUUACUUUGGUAACCAGUUUAUAAUAGCAGUAAGACACCUCUGGGGUUUGUGGUAUAUGGCCAAUAUAACACGGCUAAGGGCUGUGUCCAGGCACUCUGCAGUAUAUUGGCAAUAUACCACACCUUGUGUCUUAUUGCUUAAAUAUACCAGACUCCCUCCGGCCUAAUUGCUUAUUUAACCCCAUCAGUCACCAUACAAUGGUGUUUGUGAUGCUAAUGACAGUGAUAGGAUGGAAGGAGGAGGACAGGAGCGGAGGGAUGGAGAGGAAGAUUUAGUUGUGGCUGAUAAAAGCUGACCUGGCUCCAGUGGCUCCUCCUGUCAUUGUAGUGCUGUGAUACAAUAAUCCCCCUGCUCCCUCUUAUGUAACGGACUGGAGAACACAUGAAUAAUCCCAGCCUGCCUCUGUCUCUACACACACACACACACACGCAUACACAGUCAGUCAGUCAAUGAGUGGGCGCAGCGAGCAGCAGAAGCGGCCUGUUGUGGGGAUAGCCAUGGAGCUCUGGAUGCAUGGCAGCAGCACUGGUAAACUAUGGACAGGUAUCUGUGUUAUAGGGAGGUGAAAGGCUUGAGCACCAGGUCAUUGGAUUUACACCUAAUCCAGGGAUGAAGCCGUAUUGUGUUUGUAAUGUGAGUACAGUGUGCAUAUGUGUGAGCAUGAGUCUGUUUUUAAAUAUACAAAGUCUAAAUUUGUUGUGUGUCUGCGAGCCUGUGGGCGUGCGUGUUUUUUUUUUUUUACAGCAUCCAUCUCUGUGUUUCUUUGUGAUUUACGAUGUGUGUGUGCGCCAGACUGCCAGGACAUCAUGCGAGGUCACAGGUCAAGUGACAUUGAGGAGCUUCUGAGACAGUCUCAUUCAGAGCUGCUGUGGAUCCAGAGACAGCUGUCAAUCAUCGCUGCCAGGAACUCCCAUCACCUGCAGGUCCAAGGGAAGCUGAGACAUGAGGUUACUCCCCUGCACUCCACAGUUCUUUCAUCCCACAACGUCAGCCUCUUCCGCCUUCUGGAGGAUAGAAACCGAGCCCUAAAGCUUGAGGUGGCUACCCUUCGCCAGGAGAAACAGCAGUAUAGAACACUGGUGAGUCUGGACUUUCUCCUCUCUCCUCCACACAACUAGCCCAGACAGCUCUCAAUCACUAAAAGGUGUUUUUGUUAUGGGCCAUCUAUUCUCCAGAGUACAGCAUAUCUGUGUUUUUGAUCAGUCUCCAUCUAUCCCGAUAACCCUCAGUUUGGGCCUUGAAGGCAGUGAUUUAUCAUACUGCAUUUAUUUUGAUCACAAUAUUGUUCUCAGAGUAUGUCUAUUGUAUAGACUAGCGAGUUUAUGUUUCGUUCCUUUAUGGUAAAUAGGUCUUUAUGGCAAGCUCUCAUGCAUAGCAGAUGUUGUGCGGUUUGUCGUGCCACUGUGUAUUGCGCAGUCAGGAGAGUGUGUAAGAUAUGGAGGUGAAGUGAAGAGCAGACGAGAGGAGAACAGGGGAAGGGGAGGAAGUCCUCUGGGGCUCACCUUGGUCCCAGGGGUGAAGGUGUAAAAGCCGUUGUCCUGGCAACAGGCCCACUAGCACGAUAGGGACAGAUUGGUAGAGGGAAACUGACAGACCAUAAUGGCUGCUUGCUGUUGCAAGCCUCACUUGUUCCAAAUCAAUUUCACUCAAUGGAGAUGUAAGGUGGAGAAGGCAGAGAUGGGUACUUACUGUACACACAAUAUUGGCUUGUCAUUGGCCAACACGCAUAGGCCUAAAUCCCAGAACAUUGCUUUCUGUCAUCCAUAUGACUUGAGGAUCAGCUGUCACGUCUGUCCAGUAUCUUAAUGCUCUCAUGGUAAUUUAAUGUGGUUCACUAUUGUGUAUGUACUAUAUGUGUAUGUGUUGGAGUGUUAACACAUCCACAUUGUUGUGUGCACGUUUCAUUUCGUAACUCCAUGUUCCUUGUGCAGGAGGAAUGCUUUCCCAUUCCAGCUGUGUGAAAUGUAAUGGAUGAUGAGUCACCAGAGGCUGGGUUGUUAGAGUGGGGAUGUGUUAAAGUGACAGCGACUGGUUUUCUAUGUGUUAUGACAUGCUGGAUUGUAUACAGGUAACUGCCAAAAUAAAGGAAAAAGUUAAUAGGGAGUUGGGCCACCAUGAACCGCCAGAACAGCUUGAAUGUGCCUUGGCACAUACACCCUUUAAAUCCCCUAUCCUGUUUUGAGACCCCUCUUUCCAAUUUACUGAGAUGUAUUCUUCUAGCCAUGUUAGCCAAAAUAAUGGGCAACUGGGCGUUUUAUACCUGACCCUAAUGUGUAUGGAUGCAUAUUCAAGAAAGCGUACAGUAUUAUAUAGAGCUAUUAUUGCAUGGAACUCCAUUCCAUCUCACAUUGCUCAAAUGAAAAACCUGGUUUCAAAAAACAGAUAAAGCAACACCUCACGGCACAACGCUUCUUAUUUGACCUAUAUAGUUUGUGUGUAUGUAUUAAUAUGUAGGCUACGUGUGCCUUUAAAAUGUAGUUCUGUCCUUGAGCUGUUCUUUUCUAUUAAUGUUCUGUAUUAUGUCAUGAUUUUUAUGGACCCCAGGAAGUGUAGCUGCUGCUUUUGCAACAGCUAAUGGUGAUCCUAAUAAAAUACCAAAUGACCCUAAGCAUGAUGGGAUGUUAAUUGCUGCUUUCAAUAUACUUUGUAUCCCUCAUUUACUCAAUUGUUUCUUUAUUUUGGCAGUUGUAUGUAUAUAUUAAUAAGAUUUAUAUAGCAACUUUCUACCUACUGAGGUAAUCAAAGCUUUUUACAUAGUAAGGGGGAAGCUCACCUGAUCCAUUGUGGCACCCACUUUGGUGAUGCACAGUAACCAUUUUGUGCCAGAACGCUCACCACAUAUCAGCUUGCAUGGUAGAGAGGUGAGGAGUUAUAUUUGCCACUUAGGAAUCAGUUGCCAGAUUGGUUAUAUUAUAUGUCAGUGACUGGGUUGCCAGAUUGGUAGUGUACUGUGACAGUGACUGGGAUCGAUUCCAUUGUGGGGAUUUGUUAUGACGGAGACUGGGU
rnacentral:lncRNA from 8 species